CACCUGUUUGGACACAUGACCAAGUUUAACUCUGUAACACCUUUUAACUGUUUAAUCAUCUGAGCCACUGAACAGUGUUGCACCGACCAGUCAGCCAAGUGGAGCCCACAAGAAGGCUGAAGUAAGAGAGUUAAGGAGCUAAGAUUCCUAGGCUUUGUGAGGGGAAAAAUAGGUGGGAAACUGAAGAGAAGCAUACACACAAACAAGAUUCAUCAAGAAAACAAACUACCCUCCACAUGGAAAUGAAAUGGAACUUUGCAAAACUCAAUAAAGGGAGCUAUCUCAUAAUGAAUAAUUUAUACAAGAAAGUGGAAUUACCUUUGGUUUAAACUGUCUCGCAAACAGCAGGUACCUUCUGAUAUCAUCUAAUGAAUAGACACGAUCUACAGAUUCUUCUACUCUGGCAUGCAGAUCCACUAUGCGUCUGGCAAUGGCAUAAUCUGUGACCUGGGAUAUUAGUGCUCUGUUAGAUCUCUUUCACAGCAGCAGCCAAAUAUCAAAACAAUGGCUUAUAUUCUUCCUCCCAUCCCCUCCCCUCACACUCCUCAUGGCUGAGCCAGUCUUUCCAGAAGAAAGACGCUCUGCCAGAAGGCCCAGGAGAAUGCCCCGGAGAUUUAUAAUAGAAGGAAACAGCCCAGAAUGGAUGAAAGGCAGUUUUAGGAUUUACAACCUCUUGGAAUUCUCCUGGGUUACAAGUUACCCAUAGAACAGGCAGAAAGCAGCACUUUGCAGCGUGGGAACUGCUUGCUUUCUUUAUAGCCUACUCUAUCUAUUUCAAUAGUCCCUUCUUAAUUACAUCACUGUACUGAACAAAACAGUGGAAAAAAAUAGUACUGAACCAACAUUAAUCUCUGUAUCUUUUAUGUUCCCAAGGCAAAUGCCACAUAGACAGGUGGUAGCCAUCUUAACCCUAGUGACUAGCAGUUUGUAAAAAUGACUAUUGUUCUUAAGUUUGCAGGUCCAAUCACCACAAGAUGAAAAGGCAGCAUCCUUGUAUUCAGCAGAGUACGUUCAAAUUGUACUGCCAGCAUUUAACUUAGCAAAGAAGAAAAGCAGAAGCAAGAGGCUCUCACGAGACCAGCUUCACCUAAAACUGUAGAGGGCCACAGUGAUGGGCAGAGGUCGGGAGCACAUUAUGUACAAAAGAGCUGUCUGCUUAUACACGCAAUGAAAGUAUAAUGUUUUUGGAAGUACCAAGUGUCAAGAAAAGAAGCAAUUGACACAAGCUGAAGUUAUGAUUAGAUUUAACUCAUACUUUAAGAAACAACAACAAAAACCCAACACUAUAGUUGUCAAACACUGUCAUAGUACCCUAAAGGGGCUGCAGAAUGCCCAGAAUUCACCAGGUCAAGGUCUUGACCACCUACACUUCAGUGACAUGCGCUGAGCAAGGGAUUAGACUAGAGACCUCCAAAGGGCUUUUCUGAUAUCAGUUAUUGUACAGUUGCUCAAAGUUACCUCGUUACAUUCAUCCACAAGGAUGAAGAAGAGAUCAAACCGAGACAUGAUGGGAGCUGACAGGUUUAUAUUCUGUUUCAAUGACUUCGAUCUGUCAUAGCGCCCUCCCACUGGGUUUGCCGCAGCCAAAAUGGAGGUUCUGGCAUUCAGGGUAGCCUGACAAAGAAACAAAAAAAGACAUAAAUCUGUGGCCACUCGUUAACCUACUCACUGUAAUUUGAACAGAUCAGUGUAACAUCAUCUACACACACACACACACACACACACCUGGGCAAUCCUGUAGGCUACACAGACAAAGGAAUAGCACAAAGUACCUUUACUCCAGCUUUAGUAAUGGAUAUAGUCUGCUGCUCCAUUGCUUCAUGAAUGGCUACUUGAUCCCGCACGUCCAUUUUGUCAAAUUCAUCAAUGCAACACACACCCUGCAGUGAAGAAUAAAGAAUAGGUGGCUCAUUUCAAAAGCUUUUGGAGCAAAAGAAUCUUUAAGACAGUUUGUCAUUAAUUACAGCAAUUCCAAGGAUGCAGAAAACUCUCCAGUUCCUGGACUCACAUUAUCUGCCAACAUCAGUGCUCCAGCUUCAAUGACAAAUUCAUGUGACUCUUCAUCUUUUACAACAGCUGCUGUUAGACCAGCAGCACUGGAGGCUUUCCCACUGGUGUACACAGCACGAGGACUGAAUUCAUCCACAUGCCUAUGGAGAAAAAUAACAGUGAGGAAUUGUGCUGCAGCACAAAUUUAGAUUGACACACCAAAACCUACAGAAACAAGGUAACUUUCAGGAAUCACUGCUUUCAGCUUCUAAAGCCAGGACUCAUCCCUUCCUUCAGGAAGCAACUGACAUUCAGAACUUAAAAGAUCUUUAAUUACUCUAGAAUGAGGCAAGAAAUUUCUACAUCCAGAAAAUUGGGUAAUGCACAUGAGACUCACCCGUGGAUUUGUUGGUGCAACGUAACAGGCUAAAAAGACCAGUUUGUAGGACAGCUCUCUGACUCCAAGGGCACGAAGUCCCCGGAUUCCUUCGGUUUCAUAGCCCUCC